CCAGGAUCCAGCCCUUCCCAGACCUCACUUAAGGGCUGGCAGUAGCCAAGGCAGCCUUUCUUGCUGGAUAUUUGUGUCUUAACUGUUGCUUUUUGAAAGUUAGUCUAUCAGUUCAUAAGUUGCCUCAAAAUGAAAGUUCUUGAAGGAAAAAAACAGGAGUCUACGUGAUUCUAUACUGCCAUGGAAAAAAAACUUUCAUUCAAGCUGCUGUGGGAUUUGGCUGUUCAAAAGCUACUGUUUUUCACUUCUUUAUCAGACAGAAAGGAUGCUUACAUGAGAACUUACUGGUGUACUUCUAAAGUGAGUUGUUGCUGUUUUCUUGGUUUCACUCAAAACUUCAUAUCACCUUUUGAACACGAAGGAAGCAGAGCACUUUGUUGGACCAAAUCAUUACACGGUACCACAGUUUUGCCUUUCCUUUGACAGUGACAGAUGUAAUAGUAGGAAGUAAAACGUGCAAAGGCUGCACUAGUACAGAGGU